CCCUUAGAUGUUCUGGGCCGCACGCGCGCUACACUGAUUCAUGCACUAAGUAUAUAACCUUGGCAGAAAUGUCUGGGUAAUCUUUGAAACUGAAUCGUGCUGGGGAUUGGAGCUUGUAAUUAUUCUCCAUGAACGAGGAAUUCCUAGUAAACGCGAGUCAUCAGCUCGCAUUGAUUACGUCCCUGCCCUUUGUACACACCGCCCGUCGCACCUACCGAUUGAAUGGUCCGGUGAAGCGUUCGGACCGCUUCCUUUGGACGGGCAACCGUCUGUUGGUCGUGGGAAGUUCGUUAAACCUUAUCAUUUAGAGGAAGGAGAAGUCGUAACA
rnacentral:rRNA from 1 species